UGCAAGUCGAACGAUGAACCACUUCGGUGGGGAUUAGUGGCGAACGGGUGAGUAACACGUGGGCAAUCUGCCCUGCACUCUGGGACAAGCCCUGGAAACGGGGUCUAAUACCGGAUACUGACCCGCUUGGGCAUCCAAGCGGUUCGAAAGCUCCGGCGGUGCAGGAUGAGCCCGCGGCCUAUCAGCUAGUUGGUGAGGUAAUGGCUCACCAAGGCGACGACGGGUAGCCGGCCUGAGAGGGCGACCGGCCACACUGGGACUGAGACACGGCCCAGACUCCUACGGGAGGCAGCAGUGGGGAAUAUUGCACAAUGGGCGAAAGCCUGAUGCAGCGACGCCGCGUGAGGGAUGACGGCCUUCGGGUUGUAAACCUCUUUCAGCAGGGAAGAAGCGAAAGUGACGGUACCUGCAGAAGAAGCGCCGGCUAACUACGUGCCAGCAGCCGCGGUAAUACGUAGGGCGCAAGCGUUGUCCGGAAUUAUUGGGCGUAAAGAGCUCGUAGGCGGCUUGUCACGUCGGUUGUGAAAGCCCGGGGCUUAACCCCGGGUCUGCAGUCGAUACGGGCAGGCUAGAGUUCGGUAGGGGAGAUCGGAAUUCCUGGUGUAGCGGUGAAAUGCGCAGAUAUCAGGAGGAACACCGGUGGCGAAGGCGGAUCUCUGGGCCGAUACUGACGCUGAGGAGCGAAAGCGUGGGGAGCGAACAGGAUUAGAUACCCUGGUAGUCCACGCCGUAAACGGUGGGCACUAGGUGUGGGCAACAUUCCACGUUGUCCGUGCCGCAGCUAACGCAUUAAGUGCCCCGCCUGGGGGAGUACGGCCGCAAGGCUAAAACUCAAAGGAAUGACGGGGGCCCGCACAAGCCG
rnacentral:rRNA from 1 species